rnacentral:rRNA from 1 species
GGUAAUUUAAUCUUAUUAUCAAAAUAAAUGGAUCAAACAUAUAUAAAUAAAUAUACAAAAACAAAGAGGAGUUAGAUAUUAUUCCUCCCAUCACCCCAACAAAACAUUUUACUCCACUUCAACAUAACUUUAAAACAAACAAUACAUAAAUAAAAAAAAUGUCAAACUCUAUAGGGUCUUCUCGUCCCAUAAAAACAUUUAAGAAUUUUAACUCAAAAACCAAAUUCAAUUAAACAAUACCUCUAAGACAGCUUAUGUCUCGUCAAGCCAUUCAUACCAGAUCACAAUUAAAGAACUAAUGAUUAUGCUACCUUUGCACGGUCAAAAUACCGCGGCCCUUUAACAACAGUCAGUGGGCAGGCCAUACUUCAAAAACUAACAAGAAAAGAUGUUUUUGUUAAACAGGCGGACAUACAAAAUUUGCCUAAUUCCUUAAAAGCAAUUAACACCUAUCCUACUUAUAAACAAAACAACAAAUAAAAUUUACUAAUUACACAAUAAUUACUACCCAAAUCAAAAAUAAAGAAAACAUUUCAAUAAAUAACUUAAAUAACAAAAAAAAUAAAAAAAGAACAAAUAAAAUUUUAACAUAAUCAAAUAGAAAAUCACCAUAAAAUCCACAAAACUAAAUUAAAUCCAAUAAAUUAUAAAAAUAAAAUAAGGAGCUAAUCCCCCCUAAUCUUAACAUCAAAUAAAUAUAAAUAACCCAACAAUAGAAAUUAAUAUAAGAUGCAUGAAUUAAA